AGANGUUUGAUCNUGGCUCAGAAACGAACGUUGGCGGCGUGCCUAACACAUGCAAGUCGAACGAGAAAUCCCGGGCUUGCUCGNGAGAGUAAAGUGGCGCACGGGUGAGUAACGCGUGGGUAACCUGCCCUGAAGUGGGGGAUAACUCGCCGAAAGGCGAGCUAAUACCGCAUAAGUCCUUUGGACAUAAGUUCAAAGGGGAAAGGUGGCCUCUUCUUGAAAGCUACCGCUUCAGGAUGGGCCCGCGUUGGAUUAGCUUGUUGGUGAGGUAAUGGCUCACCAAGGCUACGAUCCAUAGCUGGUUUGAGAGGACGACCAGCCACACUGGAACUGAGACACGGUCCAGACUCCUACGGGAGGCAGCAGUGAGGAAUAUUGCGCAAUGGGGGAAACCCUGACGCAGCGACGCCGCGUGGGUGAAGAAGGCCUUCGGGUUGUAAAGCCCUGUCAGAGGGGAAGAAAGGGGAUGCGGUAAUACCC
rnacentral:rRNA from 1 species